GACGAACGCUGGUGGCGUGCUUAACACAUGCAAGUCGAACGGAAAGGCCCUGCUUUUGUGGGGUGCUCGAGUGGCGAACGGGUGAGUAACACGUGAGUAACCUGCCCUUGACUUUGGGAUAACUUCAGGAAACUGGGGCUAAUACCGGAUAGGAGCUCCUGCUGCAUGGUGGGGGUUGGAAAGUUUCGGCGGUUGGGGAUGGACUCGCGGCUUAUCAGCUUGUUGGUGGGGUAGUGGCUUACCAAGGCUUUGACGGGUAGCCGGCCUGAGAGGGUGACCGGCCACAUUGGGACUGAGAUACGGCCCAGACUCCUACGGGAGGCAGCAGUGGGGAAUAUUGCACAAUGGGCGGAAGCCUGAUGCAGCAACGCCGCGUGCGGGAUGACGGCCUUCGGGUUGUAAACCGCUUUCGCCUGUGACGAAGCGUGAGUGACGGUAAUGGGUAAAGAAGCACCGGCUAACUACGUGCCAGCAGCCGCGGUGAUACGUAGGGUGCGAGCGUUGUCCGGAUUUAUUGGGCGUAAAGGGCUCGUAGGUGGUUGAUCGCGUCGGAAGUGUAAUCUUGGGGCUUAACCCUGAGCGUGCUUUCGAUACGGGUUGACUUGAGGAAGGUAGGGGAGAAUGGAAUUCCUGGUGGAGCGGUGGAAUGCGCAGAUAUCAGGAGGAACACCAGUGGCGAAGGCGGUUCUCUGGGCCUUUCCUGACGCUGAGGAGCGAAAGCGUGGGGAGCGAACAGGCUUAGAUACCCUGGUAGUCCACGCUGUAAACGGUGGGUACUAGGUGUGGGGUCCAUUCCACGGGUUCCGUGCCGUAGCUAACGCUUUAAGUACCCCGCCUGGGGAGUACGGCCGCAAGGCUAAAACUCAAAGGAAUUGACGGGGCCCCGCACAAGCGGCGGAGCAUGCGGAUUAAUUCGAUGCAACGCGUAGAACCUUACCUGGGUUUGACAUGGAUCGGGAGUGCUCAGAGAUGGGUGUGCCUCUUUUGGGGUCGGUUCACAGGUGGUGCAUGGCUGUCGUCAGCUCGUGUCGUGAGAUGUUGGGUUAAGUCCCGCAACGAGCGCAACCCUUGUUCACUGUUGCCAGCACGUUAUGGUGGGGACUCAGUGGAGACCGCCGGGGUCAACUCGGAGGAAGGUGGGGAUGACGUCAAGUCAUCAUGCCCCUUAUGUCCAGGGCUUCACGCAUGCUACAAUGGCUGGUACAGAGAGUGGCGAGCCUGUGAGGGUGAGCGAAUCUCGGAAAGCCGGGCUCAGUUCGGAUUGGGGUCUGCAACUCGACCUCAUGAAGUCGGAGUCACUAGUAAUCGCAGAUCAGCAACGCUGCGGUGAAUACGUUCCCGGGGCU
rnacentral:rRNA from 1 species